rnacentral:rRNA from 1 species
UCUGGUGAUUAUUGUGGAGGUGUCAUACCCGUUCCCAUCCCGAACACGGAAGUCAAGCCCUCUAACGCCGAUGGUACUGAGCCUCUAAGACUUGGGAGAGUAGGUAGUUGCCAGAC